rnacentral:misc_RNA from 1 species
UCUUAUCCUAGACCAGGAAGUGAAAAUAGGUCGACCGAUCCUUCAGGUAAAAAUUGAUAUUUAUUUUACAGAUUUCUCUUGUUUUAACAUCUAUAAUCUUAUACAAACAUGAGCUGUGAACAAGGACAUAAAAUUUCUCAGCAACGAUUUAUGCAAAUCCGAGUUGAUUUUGUAAAACACGUGGACGAUAUCAGAUCAUUUUUAGAUUAUGCUGUGCCCAGUGGUUUAUUGACUAAGGGACAUGAAAAUAGAAUAAUGUCCGAGAGAAAUCCUGACGACCAAACACGACAGUUACAUGAUUAUAUAUAUAAAAAACUUCCGUAUGAUUCAGAUAAAUUGAUGUCAGCCUUGAAAGAGUCGAAACAUUUUAAGAUAUUUGAUCUUUUAGACGAACAGUCAGUCUACCCGAUGAAAUUCAAAACACAUGGUCGAGUUGUAUUAAUAAAUAAUGUGAAAUUUGACGAUGAAGAGAAGUAUCCAGAAAGGCUCGGAAGCGAAAAAGAUGUGGAGGGUAUCACGAAACUUUUCACUGCUUUCAAUUUCGAUGUUCAACUUUAUUCUAAUAAAACGGCCGAGGAAAUGGAAGAUUCGAUUCUAAAAGAAGCUGCAGAAAGUACAGCCAAUGAGGAUUGUUUCGUUAUGUUCUUGAUGUCACACGGUGCUUUAGGGAAUAUUGUCGGAGUUGAUGGUGAGAAAUUACCUUAUUCCACUAUUAACAAAAUUCUAAAGAAGAGCACUCCCUUGAAAAACAAACCAAAACUCAUUUAUGUAAAUACUUGUGAAAUUAAUCCUACCGAGAAAGAUAUCAAGAAAUAUUUCAACGUUCCAGAUCUCUAUGUUACGUUUGCCACUGUUCCAGAAAGCCUAGCUUUUCCAACUGAUGAAAGUGGUUCUGUUUUCAUAAAAUGUUUAAUCAGUGUUUAUGAAACGAACAAAGAUAGAUGUGACAUCUCUUCAUUAUCACUUGAUAUAAAUUCACAAGUUUCGAAGGAAGGCAAUGAGAUUUCCAUGGAUCAGGUUUCAAGUUCUUUCUCUACGUUGAAGAAAAAUGUGAUACUUCGAGCCAAAGACUAACCAGAUUCCGUCCCAAUUCUCUCUUCUUCUUCUCUCAUUAAAAUAUAAAGGAAAUUGAACAACAAUGGUAUGUACGUUAAACCUUUCCAAAUUCGCCUCCAUCCACAACCUAAUCUGUAUACUUGGAUUCCACUUCACCUGACUAAUAAGUAUUUCUGAUUUCGGUACAAAGCCAACAAUUUAAAGAGGAGGACUUAUCAGACACCAUUCUCUGCAGAACUUUAUUUUAUUUUAUAAAUUACAUACGAUAUUUCUUUUGAAUUC